GUAAAGGCUUUAAUAAAAGCCAUAAUAAUAACAAGAAUAAUAGUU
rfam:Equus caballus chromosome 24, whole genome shotgun sequence.